rnacentral:rRNA from 1 species
UUGGACCUGAUAUCAGGCAAGACUACCCGCUGAACUUAAGCAUAUCAAUAAACCGGAAGAAAA